rnacentral:tRNA from 1 species
UCCUCGGUAGCUCAGCGGCAGAGCAUCCGGCUGUUAACCGGAGGGUCGCAGGUUCGAAUCCUGCCCGGGGAG